rnacentral:rRNA from 1 species
UUAAGUUAUUAAGGGCGCACGGUGGAUGCCUUGGCACUAGAAGCCGAUGAAGGACGUUACUAACGACGAUAUGCUUUGGGGAGCUGUAAGUAAGCUUUGAUCCAGAGAUUUCCGAAUGGGGAAACCCAGCAUGAGUUAUGUCAUGUUAUCGAUAUGUGAAUACAUAGCAUAUCAGAAGGCACACCCGGAGAACUGAAACAUCUUAGUACCCGGAGGAAGAGAAAGAAAAUUCGAUUCCCUUAGUAGCGGCGAGCGAAACGGGAAGAGCCCAAACCAACAAGCUUGCUUGUUGGGGUUGUAGGACACUCUAUACGGAGUUACAAAGGACGACAUUAGACGAAUCAUCUGGAAAGAUGAAUCAAAGAAGGUAAUAAUCCUGUAGUCGAAAAUGUUGUCUCUCUUGAGUGGAUCCUGAGUACGACGGAGCACGUGAAAUUCCGUCGGAAUCUGGGAGGACCAUCUCCUAAGGCUAAAUACUCUCUAGUGACCGAUAGUGAACCAGUACCGUGAGGGAAAGGUGAAAAGCACCCCGGAAGGGGAGUGAAAUAGAACCUGAAACCGUGUGCUUACAAGUAGUCAGAGCCCGUUAAUGGGUGAUGGCGUGCCUUUUGUAGAAUGAACCGGCGAGUUACGAUUUGAUGCAAGGUUAAGCAGUAAAUGUGGAGCCGUAGCGAAAGCGAGUCUGAAUAGGGCGUUUAGUAUUUGGUCGUAGACCCGAAACCAGGUGAUCUACCCUUGGUCAGGUUGAAGUUCAGGUAACACUGAAUGGAGGACCGAACCGACUUACGUUGAAAAGUGAGCGGAUGAACUGAGGGUAGCGGAGAAAUUCCAAUCGAACCUGGAGAUAGCUGGUUCUCUCCGAAAUAGCUUUAGGGCUAGCCUCAAGUGAUGAUUAUUGGAGGUAGAGCACUGUUUGGACGAGGGGCCCCUCUCGGGUUACCGAAUUCAGACAAACUCCGAAUGCCAAUUAAUUUAACUUGGGAGUCAGAACAUGGGUGAUAAGGUCCGUGUUCGAAAGGGAAACAGCCCAGACCACCAGCUAAGGUCCCAAAUAUAUGUUAAGUGGAAAAGGAUGUGGCGUUGCCCAGACAACUAGGAUGUUGGCUUAGAAGCAGCCAUCAUUUAAAGAGUGCGUAAUAGCUCACUAGUCGAGUGACACUGCGCCGAAAAUGUACCGGGGCUAAACAUAUUACCGAAGCUGUGGAUUGUCCUUUGGACAAUGGUAGGAGAGCGUUCUAAGGGCGUUGAAGCAUGAUCGUAAGGACAUGUGGAGCGCUUAGAAGUGAGAAUGCGGUGUGAGUAGCGAAAGACGGGUGAGAAUCCCGUCCACCGAUUGACUAAGGUUUCCAGAGGAAGGCUCGUCCGCUCUGGGUUAGUCGGGUCCUAAGCUGAGGCCGACAGGCGUAGGCGAUGGAUAACAGGUUGAUAUUCCUGUACCACCUAUAAUCGUUUUAAUCGAUGGGGGGACGCAGUAGGAUAGGCGAAGCGUGCGAUUGGAUUGCACGUCUAAGCAGUAAGGCUGAGUAUUAGGCAAAUCCGGUACUCGUUAAGGCUGAGCUGUGAUGGGGAGAAGACAUUGUGUCUUCGAGUCGUUGAUUUCACACUGCCGAGAAAAGCCUCUAGAUAGAAAAUAGGUGCCCGUACCGCAAACCGACACAGGUAGUCAAGAUGAGAAUUCUAAGGUGAGCGAGCGAACUCUCGUUAAGGAACUCGGCAAAAUGACCCCGUAACUUCGGGAGAAGGGGUGCUCUUUAGGGUUAACGCCCAGAAGAGCCGCAGUGAAUAGGCCCAAGCGACUGUUUAUCAAAAACACAGGUCUCUGCUAAACCGUAAGGUGAUGUAUAGGGGCUGACGCCUGCCCGGUGCUGGAAGGUUAAGAGGAGUGGUUAGCUUCUGCGAAGCUACGAAUCGAAGCCCCAGUAAACGGCGGCCGUAACUAUAACGGUCCUAAGGUAGCGAAAUUCCUUGUCGGGUAAGUUCCGACCCGCACGAAAGGCGUAACGAUUUGGGCACUGUCUCAACGAGAGACUCGGUGAAAUCAUAGUACCUGUGAAGAUGCAGGUUACCCGCGACAGGACGGAAAGACCCCGUGGAGCUUUACUGUAGCCUGAUAUUGAAAUUCGGCACAGCUUGUACAGGAUAGGUAGGAGCCUUUGAAACGUGAGCGCUAGCUUACGUGGAGGCGCUGGUGGGAUACUACCCUAGCUGUGUUGGCUUUCUAACCCGCACCACUUAUCGUGGUGGGAGACAGUGUCAGGCGGGCAGUUUGACUGGGGCGGUCGCCUCCUAAAAGGUAACGGAGGCGCUCAAAGGUUCCCUCAGAAUGGUUGGAAAUCAUUCAUAGAGUGUAAAGGCAUAAGGGAGCUUGACUGCGAGACCUACAAGUCGAGCAGGGUCGAAAGACGGACUUAGUGAUCCGGUGGUUCCGCAUGGAAGGGCCAUCGCUCAACGGAUAAAAGCUACCCCGGGGAUAACAGGCUUAUCUCCCCCAAGAGUUCACAUCGACGGGGAGGUUUGGCACCUCGAUGUCGGCUCAUCGCAUCCUGGGGCUGUAGUCGGUCCCAAGGGUUGGGCUGUUCGCCCAUUAAAGCGGUACGCGAGCUGGGUUCAGAACGUCGUGAGACAGUUCGGUCCCUAUCCGUCGUGGGCGUAGGAAAUUUGAGAGGAGCUGUCCUUAGUACGAGAGGACCGGGAUGGACAUACCUCUGGUGUACCAGUUGUCGUGCCAACGGCAUAGCUGGGUAGCUAUGUGUGGACGGGAUAAGUGCUGAAAGCAUCUAAGCAUGAAGCCCCCCUCAAGAUGAGAUUUCCCAACUUCGGUUAUAAGAUCCCUCAAAGAUGAUGAGGUUAAUAGGUUCGAGGUGGAAGCAUGGUGACAUGUGGAGCUGACGAAUACUAAUCGAUCGAAGACUUAAUCAA